rnacentral:tRNA from 1 species
UUAAUUGAAGCCAAAAUAGAGGCAUAUUACUGUUAAUAAUAUUAUUAGAUUUUUCUCAAUUAAA